CCUACGGGUGGCAGCAGUGAGGAAUAUUGGUCAAUGGACGCAAGUCUGAACCAGCCAUGCCGCGUGCAGGAAGAAGGUGCUAUGCAUUGUAAACUGCUUUUAUACGGGGGUAAUUACAGAUACGUGUAUCUGGAUGAAAGUACCGUAUGAAUAAGGAUCGGCUAACUCCGUGCCAGCAGCCGCGGUAAUACGGAGGAUCCGAGCGUUAUCCGGAUUUAUUGGGUUUAAAGGGUGCGUAGGCGGUCAGGUAAGUUAGAGGUGAAAGCUCGAUGCUCAACAUCGAAACUGCCUCUGAUACUGUCUGACUAGAGUGUAGUUGCGGAAGGCGGAAUGUGUGGUGUAGCGGUGAAAUGCUUAGAUAUCACACAGAACACCGAUUGCGAAGGCAGCUUUCCAAGCUAUUACUGACGCUGAGGCACGAAAGCGUGGGGAGCGAACAGGAUUAGAUACCCCUGUAGUC
rnacentral:rRNA from 1 species